GCACUAGGAGAUGACCUUACUAGACAAGUGGAACUUGAAGGUCAAAUUGACAAGAAGAAAAAGAAGAAGAAGUUGUUCCGCUUCCACUGGUGAAGUGAUAAUUGUGUUUGUUACGUGACCUUCAAAAACAAAGAGUUGUAAAGUUGGAGGCUUAAAGAGAGUAUUGUUAUUGUUAUUCCUUUUAAAAAAAAAAACUAAUAAAGUUUGCCAUCUUUUGACAAUUGUGUACAUUAUUGAGUCUCAAACUCAUUGAGUAACAUUUGGGUUUCAUAAUAUUAUUGUAACCACUUGGCCUGUGCGCAAUCUUCAAACUUAAUGUAAAAGAUGUUUCUCCAUGUACAUUAUGCAAUCAAGUACUACUUCCAUAUAA